rnacentral:lncRNA from 1 species
CCGAAAAAGGUGAUUAAUGCAUGUGCUUCUGAAUGUUUAACCUUAAUUUUCAUUAAUCUCAUUUCAACUAGCUGUCAUGUGCCCUGCUUUGAUUUAUUCAAAAUGGUUACUAAAUCUUAGAUGGUGAAGAACCACAUGAGCACAAAUUCUCAUCUGUCAUAUGUUUUGAAGGAAAUGGUCAAUGGCACAAUUAACAAGUGAAUUAAUCAUGUUUAUUUGAUGAUUGGUCUUACUGUUAGUCAUCACUUGAUUUUGGGUUCACCUACUAAACAGGAUUUUGGUAUAAGACCUGGCUUCUGCUAGCUAUCUUGAAGCACGCUCAGUAAACGUCAAAUAUCAGCAAGUAUGCUUGGCAACUGAUGCUCUUGUUAACGAUUAGAAAUUCAACAUGCUUAAACCAGGUGGACAGCGCGGUACCUGUGAAUCCAUGUAUUCUUAACAUACCAAACUUCAGAUUAGGAUUUCAGGUGAGAAUUUGCCUAGAGGCUAGCAUAAGAAUAUCUUGACAUCAUUUGCAGCGUAGUUUACUAUUCUCUAUUGUCAAACAACACUCACCUGGUAAGGGCAUAAUGGAUGCAAUGCAUUAGCAUAAUCCUGGGAUUUACUUUUGCAACUGGUGAUUACUCCGUGUUUGACCAGUAACUUCCAUCGUGCUUUCAAACGGAACCAGACACGGUCCGGCUGAGCUUCAGAGCGGCGCUCAAGCAGUCGAACUCUGUCGUUGUCAUCUUCAUAGAAUACUGUUCUCAGUUUCGUCAACUCUCC